rnacentral:rRNA from 1 species
UACAGAGACUGCAAGCGUUAUUCGGAUUCACUGGGCGUAAAGGGUGCGCAGGCGGUUGGGUGUGUCAGAUGUGAAAUCCCGAGGCUCAACCUCGGAACUGCGUCUGAAACUACUCGACUAGAGUACUGGAGAGGGUAACGGAAUUCACGGUGUAGCAGUGAAAUGCGUAGAUAUCGUGAAGAACACCAGAGGCGAAGGCGGUUACCUGGACAGUUACUGACGCUCAGGCACGAAAGCAUGGGGAGCAAAAGGG